rnacentral:SRP_RNA from 13 species
GGCGCGGACGCAACGCUGAAGAGCAAGGGCGGCAAGACGGCGGCGGACUGGGCGAGGGAGGAGAACAAGCCCGAGGUGCUCGCGUUGUUGUGGUGGGGCAAGACUGCCCCUGUGUGUCAUCCCCG